GAAAGCCCAGACACUGAACUUUUUAGAAUUUUUUAAUUUAGAGACAGGGUCUCACUCUGUUGCCCAGGCUGGGUGCCACACUGUAGCCUCGCCCUCCUAGGCUCAACCAAUUCUCCCACAUCAGCCUCCUGAGGUGCUGGGACUACAGGUGCAUGUGCCACCAUGCCCGGCUAAUUUUUUUAUUUUUUGUGGAGAUGGGGGGUCUCACUAUGUUGCUCAGGUUAGUCUCAAACUCCCAGGUCAAGCGAUCCUCCCACCUCGGCCUCCCGAAGUGCUGGGAUUACAGGCAUGAGCCACCGCACCUAGCCCUAGACUAAGACUUCAAAUCAUCUAUUAUAAAUAUGUUGAAAGAACUAAAGAAAAUAAUGUCUAAAGAACUAAAGGAAAACAUAUGAGAAUGAUAUUUUACCAAAUAAAGAAUGUUAAUAAACACACAAAAAUUUUAAGAAAGAAUCAAACAGAAAUUCUGGAAUUGGGAAGUACAGAAACUGAAAUGAAAAACUCAAUAGAAGGGCUCAACAGCAGCUAUGAGCAGGCAGAACAAUCAACCAACUUGAAGAUAGGUCAACUGAGAUUAGCCAGUCUGAGAACCAGAAAGAACAAAUAAUAAGGAAAAAUGAACAGAGCCUCAGAAACCUGUGGGACACCAUUAAGUAUACCAACAUAUGCAUGAUGAGAAUCAAGGAAGGAAAGAGAAGGACAGAAAAAAUAAUUGGAGAAAUAACAGCCCAAAAUUUCCCAUGUGAUAGAAAACAUUACACAUCCAAGAGGCUCAACGAAUUACAAGAUAAACUAAAAGAGAUUCACAUCAAGAUACAUCAAAUCAAAUGAUUAAAAGCCAAUAAAAAUAAGAAAAUCU
rnacentral:lncRNA from 10 species